AGAGUUUGAUCAUGGCUCAGGACGAACGCUGGCGGCGUGCUUAACACAUGCAAGUCGAGGGGCAGCAUGAUUUGUAGCAAUACAGAUUGAUGGCGACCGGCGCACGGGUGAGUAACGCGUAUGCAACUUACCUAUCAGAGGGGGAUAGCCCGGCGAAAGUCGGAUUAAUACCCCAUAAAACAGGGGUCCCGCAUGGGAAUAUUUGUUAAAGAUUCAUCGCUGAUAGAUAGGCAUGCGUUCCAUUAGGCAGUUGGCGGGGUAACGGCCCACCAAACCGACGAUGGAUAGGGGUUCUGAGAGGAAGGUCCCCCACAUUGGUACUGAGACACGGACCAAACUCCUACGGGAGGCAGCA
rnacentral:rRNA from 1 species